rnacentral:tRNA from 1 species
AAUAAAAUGCCUGAGAAAAAGGGUUAUCUUGAUAGGAUAAAUAAUAUACAAUUGUAUUUUUAUUA